rnacentral:rRNA from 1 species
AUGUUCCCGUUAAUCAAGANNGAAAGUUAGAGGUUCGAAGGCGAUCAGAUACCGCCCUAGUUCUAACCAUAAACGAUGCCAGCCAGCGAUCCGCCGAAGUUCCUCCGAUGACUCGGCGGGCAGCUUCCGGGAAACCAAAGCUUUUGGGUUCCGGGGGAAGUAUGGUUGCAAAGCUGAAACUUAAAGGAAUUGACGGAAGGGCACCACCAGGAGUGGAGCCUGCGGCUUAAUUUGACUCAACACGGGAAACCUCACCAGGCCCGGACACCGGAAGGAUUGACAGAUUGAGAGCUCUUUCUUGAUUCGGUGGGUGGUGGUGCAUGGCCGUUCUUAGUUGGUGGAGCGAUUUGUCUGGUUAAUUCCGGUAACGAACGAGACUCUAGCCUGCUAAAUAGACGAUUUCCGGUAUCCACAAUAGUGCUACCGGCGAAAUCAAUAUCUUCUUAGAGGGACAGGCGGCUUUCAGCCGCACGAAACUGAGCAAUAACAGGUCUGUGAUGCCCUUAGAUGUCCUGGGCCGCACGCGCGCUACACUGAAGGAAUCAGCGUGUAUACCCUGGCCGAAAGGCUCGGGCAACCCGUUGAACCUCCUUCGUGCUAGGGAUUGGGGCUUGCAAUUGUUCCCCAUGAACGAGGAAUUCCCAGUAAGCGCGAGUCAUAAGCUCGCGUUGAUUACGUCCCUGCCCUUUGUACACACCGCCCGUCGCUACUACCGAUUGAAUGAUUUAGUGAGGUCUUCGGACUGGUGCGCGGCGGCCGCAUCCGCGGCCGCCGAUGCCACCGGGAAGAUGACC